AUCAGUUAGGGUUACGGCCGUUUACUGCAUUCAAGCCUGCGCUCAGUCACAAUAAGUGCAUUUUAUCCACCCAACCCCUGGUGCAUGUUUAAGAAGUGCGUUUGCCUAUUUUUAUAUCGAAUAAAUGUUAUCUUGUAUUAUGAUACCCUUCCACACGGUGGACUUCCUCAGUUCAUGAAAGGUCGUGGAACGCGUUUAUGGUACUCGCUUCUAUAGCUGUAACUCAAGGGUACCUGGUAAUAAAUGUCAUGUUAAAAGGUGUAUAUUGCAGUAGUAGACCCGCGUGAACCGCCGUCAUAGACUCGAUUUUUUUUCGCGAUGUUUAUUUAAUAAAUCUCUAACUAAAAAUACAAAUGCGCGGCAAGUAAAAACUAUAGGAAGGGCUUGAUUUAAAAGUAGGCCACAUAGUGUGCCAGAAUUAAAUCUUCCAAUAAAUUAUGGCCGUAGCUUUCCGCGGUUUCCCUACAUGAACCCCGAGACCGGAAGGCUAUACUCAUUGUUCCACUAGACAUUCUAUGGGAAGACGCGCAUAAAAACGUAGGCUAUUCAAGAGGUCGCAGAUUACAAAUACAAUAGACGGUACAGACCCAUCAAGGACUGGCUUUCAGCAUUCCAGACUUUCUUUUAUUACGGUAAUUUCUCUCAGUGGCAACAUCAUCAAAUUCAGACGUGUGAAUGGCUGUGUCCACGCCUAGAUGCUUACAAGGGGUACAGGGUAUGCAGCUCCAAUCAUUGAGUGAAUGGGUUUUGAAUCGUUUCAGUUGGCUUCCAUAAAUUGUUUCGUCCUAGCCCAUUUGCUUUGGCGAACAACUUGCGGUCAGUGCAGAAAACUUGAGAGAAGACAACCUUUCAAAGCUCCGGCAACUACACCAAAGAUGCACAGACAAAGUCCGGUAGGGCCAAGGGUAUUCCAUUAUGAAAUGCCGUAUGGUGCUAAUCGGGCAAGAGAGCUCAACGCACAUUUCUCAGCGGAUGAGUGGAGAUCUAGGGCUAUAGGGCGAAUGCCUUGGCCUCAGUCACCGCCCCAGUGGCAAUCUAGCCCUGUAGGCCGAAAUUGUGGCCCCAGUCCCGUCUUCUAUCGGGAGAGAAAUGAAGGCGUUUGGAAUCCCCGUCGCAGCCCACAGGGACCAGAUAUGCGCUGCUCGGAAUGGUCACCUCGCCUACAGAGAGGGUCCAACAGAUGGCAGAAGUCCUCAAUCAAUUCGCCGCAAUCAAGAAUGCACCAAUCUCCAUCACCAAGAUCUGUAAGGGGUCCAGCUAGACGACGGGAUUCGUCUGAGUCUGGGGUCUCCAAACUUUACAAGCCUUCCAUGCUGGAAGACCCAUGGGCCGAAUUGGAGCACAUAUACUCAAGGGACCGGUCACCACUGCACAGGGCGGAAGGGAGUCCAGCAAAUGAUCUGCGAGAACCUGAACCAAACUCCACAGCUGGACACACUAGUGGUGACGCAAGAUGAACCACAAGAAAAUCAGUUAUUUUGAGUAGUUUCAAAGCCGCUGUGGAUUUGAGUUCAAACCUGUUUAUGGGUGCCCUGAUCUUAUUCCUUUGAAUAUACCCCAUACAGCGACUGACAAAUUAUUACAAAAGCUAAUAGUCAUAAUGUAAUAUUCCCGACCUCAUAUUUCACUACGGUGACAACAUGGGGUCGAUUUGGAGGUCCAACGCGCCAUCUAGUGGAUACCUUUUGCACUUCGGCUACAUGUAUUUGAUUCCUGGUUGACAGGAAUUUUAGCAUGUCGUUUUUUAGCCUGUCAUUUUAAGUAUAGGUAAUGCGGUAGGCCUGUUGUUUUAUUUUAUUUUUUUAAUUGUGUUUAUUGGUUUUCAGUUUUACCGAUAAGUUCAAUGCAAAUAACAUUUCUGUUAUUUUAUUUUUUGAACAUAUUUUGUCAUUUUCUCACUGUAGAAAGGCACAAUGCUGCUUUGCCUAUAUGUUGCUGCUUAUAGACACCCUUUGUAAAACAAUGUAACAUUACAUUUCCCUUAUUGGCACACUAAGAUUUGAUUUUUAAUUUAGCUAGGGACAACGCAAUUUGUAAUUUCUUUGAAUGCAAAUAAAAACAUAUCUGAAUACAAA